rnacentral:rRNA from 1 species
UGCAAGUCGAGCGAAUGGAUUAAGAGCUUGCUCUUAUGAAGUUAGCGGCGGACGGGUGAGUAACACGUGGGUAACCUGCCCAUAAGACUGGGAUAACUCCGGGAAACCGGGGCUAAUACCGGAUAACAUUUUGAACCGCAUGGUUCGAAAUUGAAAGGCGGCUUCGGCUGUCACUUAUGGAUGGACCCGCGUCGCAUUAGCUAGUUGGUGAGGUAACGGCUCACCAAGGCAACGAUGCGUAGCCGACCUGAGAGGGUGAUCGGCCACACUGGGACUGAGACACGGCCCAGACUCCUACGGGAGGCAGCAGUAGGGAAUCUUCCGCAAUGGACGAAAGUCUGACGGAGCAACGCCGCGUGAGUGAUGAAGGCUUUCGGGUCGUAAAACUCUGUUGUUAGGGAAGAACAAGUGCUAGUUGAAUAAGCUGGCACCUUGACGGUACCUAACCAGAAAGCCACGGCUAACUACGUGCCAGCAGCCGCGGUAAUACGUAGGUGGCAAGCGUUAUCCGGAAUUAUUGGGCGUAAAGCGCGCGCAGGUGGUUUCUUAAGUCUGAUGUGAAAGCCCACGGCUCAACCGUGGAGGGUCAUUGGAAACUGGGAGACUUGAGUGCAGAAGAGGAAAGUGGAAUUCCAUGUGUAGCGNUGAAAUGCGUAGAGAUAUGGAGGAACACCAGUGGCGAAGGCGACUUUCUGGUCUGUAACUGACACUGAGGCGCGAAAGCGUGGGGA